UUCGUAUCGAUGGGGAUGCGUUCCAUUAGGUUGUUGGCGGGGUAACGGCCCACCAAGCCUUCGAUGGAUAGGGGUUCUGAGAGGAAGGUCCCCCACAUUGGAACUGAGACACGGUCCAAACUCCUACGGGAGGCAGCAUG
rnacentral:rRNA from 1 species